rnacentral:rRNA from 1 species
UACGGGGGGGGCAAGCGUUGUUCGGAAUUACUGGGCGUAAAGGGCUCGUAGGUGGCCAACUAAGUCAGACGUGAAAUCCCUCGGCUUAACCGGGGAACUGCGUCUGAUACUGGACGGCUUGAGUUUGGGAGAGGGACGCGGAAUUCCAGGUGUAGCGGUGAAAUGCGUAGAUAUCUGGAGGAACACCGGUGGCGAAGGCGGCGUCCUGGACCAACACUGACACUGAGGAGCGAAAGCGUGGGGAGCAAACAGG